rnacentral:lncRNA from 1 species
CGGCCCCCGCGGGGUCACCUGCCCCCUCAGGCCUUGGGCAGCGGCGUGCGGCGCUUCCUGCCCUCGGGAAAAAUCACUUCCAUGAAUUGAGGCGCUUCCGAGGCAGGAAAUCCUGCGCGCUGUGAGCCGGCCCGUCGCCGUGUGAGGGGAGCAGGCCCUCGGGCCGGGCAGAGCCGGGCUUGGAGGACCGUCAGACUGCUUUAUGAUGGAUCAUGGUCUGCCAGUGAUCUCUGGAUAACAAGAUCUCAGUGUGAAGGACUUCUAUAAUGCAUGAGCCAACAAUGUAUGUUACUGGUAAGAAGAGAGCUUGUCACCGUAUCUAAUGUACACUGCUUAGAGAAUAAUUCCUGUUGUGGAAGAAAAAUAGGGAAAAGUGAUACAACUUUAACACAUACUCAUUCUAGAGACUACACAUCAGAGAGGUUCCCUCCGUGCACCAUCUGUUUCUCUGCAAUUGGGAAUGGUAGAAUAAUUUUCUGA